GGGCAUCCGUGUCCUUGCGGUGCUGGGCAGCAGACCGUCCAAACCGACACGCGUGGUAUCCUCGCGGUGUCCGGCAAGAGACUACCAAGACAGACGCUAUGGCGGAAGAGUGAUACAAGAGACUGAGGCUGAUGUGAAUCCAAAGGCCUAUCCCCUUGCCGAUGCCCACCUCACCAAGAAGCUACUGGACCUCGUUCAGCAGUCAUGUAACUAUAAGCAGCUUCGGAAAGGAGCCAAUGAGG
rnacentral:lncRNA from 1 species